GGGUUCCAUUUGGCAAACCAAAUUGUAACUGCCAAAGAUAAUUUAAUUUUAAUUUAUGACUCAUCUGGUCUUAGCAUCCACGUCCACUAUGGGAUACUUCAGGGCAAUGAGUGCUAUGACUAUGGGGAAUUUAGGCAAGACAAUAGUUAAGUUUGUGUAAUCUGUUAUGUAUGUUACUCUUACGGCACAUCUCCAUCUGGACCAGCCACAUCUUAAGUGUUCAAUAGUCGCAUGUGACUAAUGGCUUCUGUAUUGGACAGUGCUUCCCAUUGGCUGAGCACAAACUGAAUCCAGGAGCCAAAAGGAUCCACUGAUGGAGCCCAAAAAAGGUAGAGAAAGGUGAAGAGCCGUUCUGCAGGGACAGACAGAAGUGGUCUAGAACUAAACCGACAAUGUCGCCAAGGUGUGCCAGUAUAAGGACAGACUGAAAGAAUCACUGGAUCUGGACCUCAGUACGUGAACUUGCUCCUGCCAUAAGAGUUGUUUCCACAGGGCAUUCAGUCAUGGAACAGUUGCCAUUUUAGGAAGUAAGGUGGAAGAUCAGAGAACUCCUUCCUUUUGUCUGCUCCUAAUCAGCACCUUAGGUAAUUGUGAAUAAGAUCCUCCAGAAAGGUCAGUUAGUUCCUAUUCUCUUAGAGAUUUCAAGAACUUAAUGAAUGGUGAGAACAUCACCAGCAUAAGCAGUGUAUUUUCAGCCGAAGGCCAUUUUUUAAUCACAGGCUUAAUACCCACUGAAUCCAGGAUACAGUCAGCAUGGAAUUAAUUUAAUCCUUGUAAAAUGGCUAAACUCAGAGUGGUCAAAAGGGAAAAAAAAAAUAACUAACACUUUUAUGGGACUUAUGAUAGGCCACACUUUGUCUAAGCACUCAGCAUUUAUUAAUUUACUUCAUCUUCACAGGAUGAAGUUGGGUAUUACCAUUUUCUCCUUUAACAACUGAGGAACCUGAGCACAGAAAGACUGAAGAAUUUGUCUAAGAUUAAGCACUUAGUAAGCAAUGGGACCGAGUGGGAUUCAAACCCAGGCAGUCUAGAAUCUUAGUCUAUGCUUUUACCACAAUGUUAUAUCACUUCUCAAAUAUAUUUAGCUCCAGAUAAGACCACUGAGUCCCAGUGAAGAAACGUGUUUUGGUGUUUCCUUUCUUAUAUAAGACUGGAGCUUGCCAGUAGGAAGUAGUAUCUGAGGAAAUCUUCUGGCAUAUAAAUUAACCAGCGAGUAAUUUACCUACAGAAAUCACAAAAUGACCAAUGGCCAAAUCCCAAGUUUCACAAAAACUUGAAUUAAAAUGCUUUCCUUAACCUUUCAGAAAUCUCACUUAAAUUUCCACAUAGCCAGUUUUUCUGGACCUGUAUCCUUACCAGAUUGACAGCACUAUGUUGGUGUCCAGUAGCUGCUGCUCCUUUUAGGUCAGAUUGUGCUCCUGUGUUUAUUAUAGCUCUUCAUAGCUCCUACCAUAACUGGCUGCAUGAAGUUGGGCCCUCUGAUCCACUGCUUCAUGCUCUCAUUCUUCCUAAAUUGUACAAGCUGAGGGUUGGGAAGGACCUACUCUAAGGGAUACUUCUAUGUUUUUGAAGACUGAUGUUUAUACAAUAUUGGUAACUCAAGGAAAAUAAUAUAAAA
ensembl:lncRNA